rnacentral:rRNA from 1 species
UACGUAGGGUGCGAGCGUUAUCGGAAUUACUGGGCGUAAAGCGUGCGUAGGCGGUUCUCCAAGUCCGUUGUGAAAUCCCCGGGCUUAACCUGGGAAUGGCAGUGGAAACUAGGGGACUUGAAUCUGGCAGAGGGGGGUGGAAUUCCACGUGUAGCAGUGGAAAUGCGUAGAGAUGUGGAGGAACACCGAUGGCGAAGGCAGCCCCCUGGGCUGAGAUUGACGCUGAGUGCACGAAGACGUGGGGAGCAAACGGG